rnacentral:rRNA from 1 species
UGGGGAAUUUUGGACAAUGGGGGAAACCCUGAUCCAGCCAUCCCGCGUGUGCGAUGAAGGCCUUCGGGUUGUAAAGCACUUUUGGCAGGAAAGAAACGUCAUGGGUUAAUACCCCGUGAAACCGACGGUACCUGCAGAAUAAGCACCCGCUAACUACGUGCCAGCAGCCGCGGUAAUACGUAGGGUGCAAGCGUUAAUCGGAAUUACUGGGCGUAAAGCGUGCGCAGGCGGUUCGGAAAGAAAGAUGUGAAAUCCCAGAGCUCAACUUUGGAACUGCAUUUUUAACUACCGGGCUAGAGUGUGUCAGAGGGAGGUGGAAUUCCGCGUGUAGCAGUGAAAUGCGUAGAUAUGCGGAGGAACACCGAUGGCGAAGGCAGCCUCCUGGGAUAACACUGACGCUCAUGCACGAAAGCGUGGGGAGCAAACAGG